rnacentral:lncRNA from 1 species
CGCACUUCAUCUUGUUUCUUGUGUGCUUUUAUCAAUGGUUCUACUGUUCUUAUUGUCGCUAGCAUGCACUUACUAGUCUACUUAGUUUAGCUUAGCAUGUUCCCCUUACCCCUUCCCUGCCUCAAUGAAAGAUUUCCUUUCCCUUGUACACUACUACCAUGUAUCCAGGUAUACUUGGCUACUUGAUUAGCCUAAAACCUCUUCCUGAGGUUGAUUGUAUUGGAGUUUGGUGCGGUAAGAACUGGACCCCUGUUUUGCAACCUUUUCUGAUUACUUUCCUCCAAUAUGUUGUUUGUGUGUAAGUAGUUCACUUUACUUAUUUGUUCCCUUCCCCUUUUCCCCUGUUUUUGUGAUGCUCUGAAAAGGUCUAAAUGAUUUCAGAAGAACUUUUCCAACUCAUUCAACUAUUUUCUCAUACUGUCUCAACUUUGUCAACUCUUUCAACUGUUUUCUCAAACUGUCUCAAAUUUUUCAACUCUUUCAACUGUCUUCUCAAACUGUCUCUCAACUGUUUUCAACUCUCUCAAUUCUAUCACAAUCUCACUACUCUUAGAACAUUAGGUUCUUCCCAC